ACAGGAUCUGGCGACAUGAAGUUGACAUUUGGCACAGGGUUCAGACUUUCUGUCCGACCACAUAUUACUCCAUCUCCUUCAGUCUACAGGCUGACCUCUGAAGAUGACAAGAAUUUGGAAAUGUGCCUUAUCACGGAUUACUCCCCUGACAAGCUCGAUCUUAGCUCAGUUGAUAGUAAGACAGAAACUAUUGUGGAGGUGGCAACAUCAGAGUACAAACAUGAAGCGAGCUACCUGUCAACCUACUGGGCCAAGAAAGAUGAAAUGCAGUGUGGUGCCAAGCACGAGGGAUUUGGAGUACUAAAUGGAGAGGAUCCUGAAGCUGGUGCCACCACUGUCUGCAUUACAGGAAUGUCGCUACACUUCAAGACAGAUGAAAACCUGAACAUGCUGACCUUCUCGCAACUGGGCCUGAAAAUAAUUUUAAUGAAAGCAAUAAUUUUUAACGUGCUGAUGACGAUGCUUAUGUGGAAAAAAAAAUGAAUGAAAGUAACCAGACAGUGCAGAUGUGAAGUACCAAAAAAUAAUCUGUUGAGGAAUCAUUACUGGAGUGUUGGGUGCAAGAGAUGUUCCUACUGCAAUAGAUAUCACUUGGUUUUUCUGUAUAUCACACAAGCCAUUAUAGUCUAAAUUGCUUUAUGUGCAUUUUUAUAAAGCUACUCAGAAAUAUGCCUACAAUUCUUACAAUGCUUACAAUUCUCAGUAUUCUGCUCAUUUAACCUGACAAUGCCUUUUUUCUUUUUUUUUUUUUUUUUGGAUGAAGCAGAGAUUGCUGUAACUAUGCAUUGUCAAACAUCUCUAUUACUUGCAUUAAAAUUACAUAAAAUUUCUGUCUGAA